AGUAGGAGAAUUGCUUUAGGAGAAGCCCAAAGUGGGAUGCUUGCUUUGCUCACAUUGAUUGCGUCUCCCAGUGCCUCCCCGCGCCUCAUCUCUGUCGUCAUCCUUUUUCUACUGCAGGCUCAUCAGAGAACACAAGUAGCUCACAGCACCCUGGAGAGGGAAGGUAGGGCCUCCCUGGCUUCUCCUUGUUCUUGUGCUAAGGACAAUGACUACUUCUUUCAAUGAUCUCAGGACCUCCUUUGUAAAUAUGUGGGCCCUACGCUCUGGCACUGUUUCU
rnacentral:lncRNA from 1 species